UUGUGCGAUGGGUGUGCGGUCGUCUGGAGCCGGGUGGCAGACUAUCUGGGUAUGUGCAUAUAUAUUCAUACCCGUAAGUCUCCAUCGAGCUCCGGCUGUCGGUUCGCCUACAUGUGCCUU
rnacentral:precursor_RNA from 9 species